rnacentral:tRNA from 1 species
GGGUAUAUAACUCAAUGGUAGAGUGCAUGCCUAGCAUGCACAAGAUCCAGGGUUCAAUCCCCAGUACCUCCA